GAAAGUCUAGGUUUUAAUUUGUCAAGUAGUGUAUUCACCCCCCUCUAGAAAUCCCUUUUAGUGAUCCCACACAACGGCGCGAGCUAGGCCGCCGACGGAGGAGGGGGUGGAUGUAGCGACCUGACCUGAAAUGGCCAAGUCUCUGGUGUUUCUGUACCAUCCCAAGAUCAUGCUGGUACACACACAGUACAUCGAUGUAUAUAUCGAGAGUUCAAUCACACAACUUUAUUAAUCGGAUCUCAUACCGUGUACUUUAUGACAAUAAUGAUUACAAUAAAGAGGCUGAAGGCCAAACUCAUGAGAUAACUAAACGAAGAUUAGCGGAAGCUUCAAAAGUAGUAGAGUCCAUCUGACUCCAGGGCAUAUCACUGAGCGUAGAUCGUGACCUCACUCCUGGUCAGAAAAGUACUCUGCAACAUGACACGUUGCAGUCGUGUAGNNNNNNNNNNNNNNNNNNNNNNNNNNNNNNNNNNNNNNNNNNNNNNNNNNNNNNGUAGGUCAGCAUAUUGAAUAUGUCGGCAAGUCACAAAAGAGAGAGGUGAAAGGUAUCAUCUAUUCUAUAUGCAUAUAUGGCAGCUGGGGCUUGUAAGUUUUUAGCAGAAAGCAAAGUUUUAUCCUACAACAAGAGAGGGCUAAAAGCAAAAUAUUACUACAUUGUUUGUUGUUAAUGAGAUGGUUCCACUAACCAAAUCUUGUACCCAAGUUGUCAAUACUUCCCACAUCAUUAUUAAUUGUGUUGAGAAUUCCAGAUAGUUUCAUUUCCUUUGGCUCAAGUCGUCCAUCACUGUGGACACGACUAAUCGAUUAGGUUUGGGUACUCUGCAGAGUUUUGCACACAUUCCCCACAAGAUUUGAUCACCUCCGUUGAAUGUCCUCGCACUACAGGGUGUUCGAGGACCAGAUGAUCAAAACAUGGUCUUUCAACGGGUUCCUCUGAGCCUCUGUCACUGCCCAUCCAAUCCUACCGUUCUUCUACAUCUCGUAGCACCGCUCGUCCAGAGUCGCCGCGUUGUCCAACCAAGGCAGAGCCCAUAAUGACUUGUGGCUGUGCAGGUAAGCCUUGGGUCUUGAAGCAUCCAUCCAUCUCUUCGUGCGUGGGUGAAGCUUUCCGCAAGAUGUCAUGGCGCCUCUCCAUGCAUCCCGGGUCCUCCGCUGGUUUAUUCCAGGGGGCCCAUCAAAACCGUCCUUCACCCAAAGGUAUAUUGCAUCAUGAGGUCUCAAAUCUUGACAUAAUCGGUCUUGAUUAUUAAAAUUUUCUCACAACAUUCGUGAUAGACUCUCAACCAAAACCCCGUCUACUUAAGCAUAGCAAAAUAACAUGUAUCGUCCCGGGCCAAGUAACAAGUGUGAUGGGUGCCUACCACAUGAUACUACAUCAAGAAAACCAAAUUUUCGAGUUCCAACUUAGCAUGCAAUAGGUGAAGAAGGGUUGAUCUACAAUGCAUAUAAAACGUAGGAAAUAUGAUCAACGUGACUUGCCUUGCUGACGACUGUCGAACUCGAACGCUUCUAGAUAACAAGCUUCGCACUUCGGGUGAUCUAUCGACACAAACAAAUUCACACAAUAAGCACCACAAUGACAAGUAAUCAACAUAAAGCAUCUAAUAAAGGAAUAGCUAUAGCACAUGGUGAAAAAUUGUCUUCCAUAACCAAAUCAGAAUCUGUUUUGGUGAAAACCAUAAGAUAAAAUAUCUUUAAAAUUAUGCAAUUAAACCUACUGAUAAAUAAGAUCACUAGUGAUCAGUAGCAAAAAGAAUGAAUUAAAAAUCUAUCUUUAAACUCCCCGUAUUCACAAAAUAAGAUUUACACCUAAUCUGUUCUAACUCAAAUUUUAUAAAUUCAAACAUAGUCAAAUUUUAUAUUUUCAGAAGCUAUAUAAAAUGUGUGAUCUAAUGAAAAAAGAAUCACCUUAAUUGGAUUUCUAGUUAAAAGUUAUUAAGAAAACAAAAACAGAACUAUUUCUGUUACAAAUUUAAAAUAGAAAAGAAUACGGUGACGUGGCAUGCUCUGAUUGGCUGAAACCGUGCGCUGCUAGAGCUAAACUAGCAAACGGCCGAUAUGUAAGAAAAACGUUUCGGAUAAAUAAAUAACUUAACGGGCUGACCGGUUCUUUUUAAAAAACCGAAGGGGUAAGUUCCUUUCUAAUCUACACCCUACGAUCUAGAUCUAACGGUGAAGUAAAAUAAAAAAACAAAGGGAAACAAAGAGAGAUGAGAGAGCUCUACCGUGGCUGGGAGGUUGGCCGUCCGGAGUUGUCGUCGGCGCGGGGCGUGGAGGCGGUGGAGCUCGGUGUGAGGGGGGAAAUGGGUGCGGCUGAGGUGGGGAGGCUCCUGGCGGCGGCAGAGGGGUGGGGUGGCGCGGCAGAAGGUGCGGCAGGGCGCCGGACUUCGGCCGAAGAAGAGCUCCGGCGAGCUCUUGCAGGGGGGCAUGGAGGCGGCAGAUCGGGGCAGUGGCGAGGGGAAUGAGGUGCGACCGGGGCGGGGGUACUUAUAGGAGGGCGAGGAGGCGCGGGGAAGAAAGGGAGAGGGAGAUUGGGAAGGAGAAGAUUUCGGUCUCCCCUGCCAUGGAAGGUGCGCACACACGGGAAGUGACGAGAGGAGGAAGACGACCGUAUCGGGCCAGAUUUGGAAUUUCAUUAAUGGGCCAGCGAAAUAUUUCCUAAUAAACGAGAUUUUAUUCCUUUUUUUGAAAACAGGAAAUAAAACGAUUAAAAGGAAAUAGGAUAUACUCGGAAUAUAGGGGUAUUAUGUAUCAAAAUUAUCAGAAAAAUAAAUCCAAUAAGAUGGACAUUUUUCCACGGCCAAAAUAAAUACUUUAGAAUUUUUUUUUUUCAGAAAAUCCCUAAAUUGGUUUAUUUUGUUUUUGCAAAUAUUUUUCAAAUAAAACUUGGGUUUUAUGGCUCAAAUAUUUCAAAGGAAUACCCCUGGUUUGGAGGGUCAUGUUCCUCCACUCUUUCUUGCUUGGCACGACAAUAUUUCCGGCAUUUCGUGAGUGAAGAAAAUAAAAUGCAACGCAAAAAAUCGAAAGAAAUUGAAAUGCUACUUUUAUUACAAUCAAAAUGCAUAGAUGCUUAGCUACAAUUGUAAAACAUUUCAAAUUAGGAAAUUUGGGAUGUUACAAACCUAUCCACCUUAAGUUGAAUCUCGCCCUCGAGAUUCGGGAUGGCUAGCAAAUAGGUGCGGGUGGUCUCGACGAAGAUCUUCUUCUCGUUCCUAGGUGGCCUCUUCCUCGAUGUGAUGACUCCACAAAACCUUGCAAAACUUGAUAACCUUGCUGCGGGUAACUCUGUUGGCAGUCUCGAGAAUCUUGACGAGUUUCUCCUCGUAAGUCAAUCACUGUCAAGCUGUAUGGCCUCUAGGGGCACUCUAUCUCUCAACAGAAUAUCAGUCAUAUCAGCAUGGCAUUUCUUCAACUAGGAAACAUGGAAAACAUCAUGAACUCCGGACAAUCCUUCCGGCAAUUCCAGCUUGUAAGCAACUUCACCUCUAUGUUCAAGAAUUUUGUAGGGGCCAAUGAAUAUGGGUGCUAACUUUCCUUUUACACCAAACCUCUUGAUUCCUCAAAGUGGGGACACACGAAGGUAUGCUCGGUCUCCCACUUCGUAUGUUACUUCCUUGCGUUUGUUGUCAGCAUAAUUCUUCUGUCUGGACUGAACUAUCUUGAGUCGGUCACGAAUCAGCUUGACCUUCUCUUUGGAAUCUCAGAUGAGGUCGGGACCAAAAAGUUUUCGAUCACCAACACCAUCCCACAUCAAUGGUGUUUGGCACCUCCUUCCGUAUAAAGAUUCAAAAAGGGGCCAUCUUCAGACUCGUCUGAUAGCUGUUGUUGUAUGAGAACUCAGCGUAAGGCAAAUUGUCGUCCCAGGUAGACCCAUAGUCUAGUGCACAAGCUCUCAACAUGUCCUCCAGAAUCUGAUUGACUCUCUCGGUCUGCCCAUCGGUUUGUGGGUGAAAAGUUGUACUGAACUCCAACCUCGUUCCCAGGGUUUCGUGAAGUUGGUGCCAAAACUUUGACGUGAACCGGGUUCUUCUAUCUGACACAAUACUCCUUGGAACUCCACGCAGACAUACGAUCCUGGUCAUAUAGAUCUUGGUCAGCUUAGCAUUCGUGUAGCUACUCUACACGGGAAUGAAGUAAUCUACGUUGGUCAAAUGAUCGACCACUACCCAGAUAGAAUCAUAACCUGAACGGGUCCUGGGUAAUCCUGUGAUGAAGUCCAUACCAAGCUUCUCCCAUUUCCACUAGGGUAUCGUCAAAGGUUGAAGUAAUCCUGCUGGCUUCUGAUGCUCGGCCUUUACUCGCUGACAAACAUCGCAUAUUGCUACAAACUCGGCAGUGUCCUUCUUCAUUCAUGUCCACCAAAAACUUUCCUUCAUGUCCAGAUACAUCUUAGUGUUGCCUGGAUGUAUCGAGUAUGGGGAAUCGUGGGCUUCCUGAAGUAUCAACUUCCUGAGUUCAGGAUCAUUGGGCACAUAGAUGCGGUCCUCAAACCAUAUAGUUCCGUGUUCAUCCUCAUGAAAACCUUUAGACUUCCCAUCUUUCAUUCUUUGCUUAAUCUCAGCUAUUUCCUUGUGUGUCUUCUAAGCCUCGCGGAUUUUACCGGUCAAGGUGGACUGAAUUUCCAGCGUGGCCACAUAUCCUCUUGGGACUAUCUCCAAUUUGAGCUCUCUGAGAUCAUCGGCUAACUCCUGGGGUAAUCCUCCCGCUAUGAUUGUGUUCACAUAACUCUUACAGCUCAAAGCAACUGCUACAACAUUUCCCUUCCGUGGAUGAUAAUGCAAUCUCAUGUCAUAGUCCUUGAUCAACUCUAGCCAUCUCCUCUGUCUGAGGUUCAACUCCUUCUGCGUGAAGAUAUAUUUCAGGAUCUUGUGAUCAGUGUAAAUAUCACAACUAUUUUCGAUAAGGAAAUGUCUCCAGGUCUUGAGUGCGUGCACUACGGCUACGAGCUCCAAAUCAUGCAUGGCAUAAUUCAACUCAAGAGUUUUGAGCUGUCUGGAUGCAUAGGCUACAACUUUUCCUUCUUGCAUGAGUAUUCCUCCGAGUCCUUGACGAGAAGCGUCACAAUAAACCUGGAAAUCCUUCCGAAUGUUUGGCAAUAUCAGCACUGGGGCUGUAACCAAACGUUUCUUCAACUCUUGGAAACUGGCUUCACAUUCCUCGAUCCAAUUAUACUUGGACUCCUUAUUCAACAACUCUGUCAUGGUCUUGGCAAUCUUUGAGAAAUUCUCGAUAAACCUCCGGUAAUAUCCGGUAAGUCCGAGGAAACUGCGGAUCUCCUUAACUGAAGUGGGUGCUACCCAUUUGGUGACUGCUGCAACCUUAGCAGGAUCCACUGCUAUUCUGUCUCCCGAAGUAAUAUGUCCGAGGAAUCCGACUUCCUUCAAUCAAAAUUCACAUUUGCUGAACUUUGCAUACAGUUGAUGCUCUCGAAGUUUCUCCAAAACUAGACGCAAGUGUUCCUAGUGUUCUUCCUCGUUCUUGGAGAAUAUCAGUAUGUCAUCGAUGAACACAAAAUAUGCCAUAUCCAGGUUUUCCAGGUAUUCCAUAAAUACCUUGUUCAUCAUACUCACAAAAUAUGCCAGAGCAUUAGUCAAACCAAAUGACAUGAUUGUGUACUCAUACAGACCAUACCUUGUGGUGAAGGCUGUCUUGGGUAUAUCUUGCUCACGAAUUUUCAGCUGAUGAUACCCGGAUCAAAGAUCGAUCUUGGAGAACACUCGGGCUCCAACUAACUGGUCAAACAAAUCAUUGAUCAUUGGCAAGGAAUAUUUGUUCUUGAUGGUCACCUCGUUCAAUGCACGAUAAUCCACUACCAUUCUCACGGACUUAUCCUUCUUCUCAACCAAGAGAACUGGGGCUCCCCAAGGUGAAGAACUCGGGCGAAUGUACCCCUUGUCCAGCCACUCCUUAAUUUGCUUCUUGAUUUCCUCUAAAUCAUUUGCGGGCAUCCGAUAGGGUCUCUUGGAUAUUGGGGUUGUUCUGGGUAAUAGCUCAAUCAGGAACUCAAUCUCCCUAUCUGGUGGCAUACCCGGCAAUUCCUCUGGAAAUACAUCUGGAAAGUCUUGUACAAUCGGCACUUCCUCCUGAACUACUCCCAUGAGAGAAUUUACCCAUUUACUCCGUGACGGGCGUCGGGAUACGUACUUAAUCCGUUUUUGCUUGGGGAUGGUGAGCAAAAUAGACUUAAGGGCACAAUCAAUAUUUCAUUCAUACUUGGCCAACCAAUCCAUGCCUAGGAUUACAUCCAAUCCCUGAGACUCUAAUACGAUGAGGUCGGUGGGAAACUUAUGGUUCCUAAUGUUGAGACUCAAUGCAUGGCAUCCUAUCCCGACAGUCAUCAUGCCUCCUAGGGAACUGACCUUAAUGGGCUGGCACAGGGUUCUAGUUGGUAAACUAUACUUUUCCACAACUACCCUUGAUAUGAAUGAAUGUGUUGCACCAGAAUCAAAAAGUACCAAUAAUGAACGUGAAUUUAGCAAAAACUUACCAACUACUGUAUCGGGGUGAUCAUAGACCUCUUCAACAUCAAUGUGGUUCACCUGAGCUCAGGGAAAAGGAUUGGGCUUCCUUGCUGCUGAGUUGUCGUUGCCGUUUCCAUUUCCCUGCUUGUUCUAGGGACAUUCAGUGGCAUAGUGUCCCGUCUUCUGGCACUUGAAGCAGGUGAUAUGGUUCAGAUCCUUCUGAGCUGGAGCGGGAUGAUGCUGAGUGCCAUUAACUCCAUUACCAUUCUUGAAAUUUCCGCCAUUGCGGUUGUUCCCAUUUCCUCCAUGGUUGUGGCCUCCAUGGUUGUGCACUGGAUGGUUAUGCUGGAGGUGUCCUCCAAACUUACCGGCUCCUGCUCCGGUAUUCCCUGGAUAGGGGGUGUAACGAGGCUUCUGCUGAACGCCAGAAUUGAACUUCCCAUGUCCAUACUUCCGUUUGCGGUUCUCCAUCUGCUGAUGUUUCCCCUCCAAGAUGAGGGCCUUAUCUACCAGCUCCUGGUAGUUGUUGAAGUUGGCCAUAGUCAGCUGAAUGCUCAACUCAUCGUUGAGUCCUUCCAUGAACUUCCCCUGCUUGGCCGCAUCAUCGGCCACAUCUCCAGGUGCAUAUCGGGCAAGCAUGCUGAAUGCAUCAACAUACUGAGCCAUAGAGCGAGUUCCCUGGCGUAAGUUGCGAAACUCACGCUUCUUCAGACUCAUGGCUCCAGCUGAGACAUGAGCGGUGUGGAAGGCUUGCUUGAAUUGUUUUGAGGUGACACCAGCGAUGGGAUAAGUGGUGGUGUAGUUCUCCCACCAAGCAUCUGCGGGUCCUUCGAGUUGGUGCGUGGCAAAGCAAACCUUCUCAGCUUCAUUACAUCCAGCAGUGAUUAGUUCUCUCUCCAUCUUGCGGAGCCAAUCAUCUGCCACAAUGGGCUCAACGCUGCUGGAGAAAGUCGGAGGGUUCAACCUCAGAAAGCGGGUGAGAUUGUCGGCUUGGGGUGGUUGAUGGUGGUUAUUGUGGUUCUGAAUGAGCAACUACAUUAGGGUGUUCUGUUGUUGGAUCAACUGAGCAAGUUCCGGCAAGAAGUUCGAAGCAGGGUCAUGUCUCGGAGGCAUCUGGUGUUUGUAGAGGGACGGGAUUAGCAUAGAACAAGGGCCUAACGAGUAAUUGCACUACCCAUAUGAAAUGCAACAAACAAUUAUCACACCACACAUUUUAUUCAUUAUCACCACAAAAGGUUCAAACACGGGGAUACAAAGUGGCGAUAUCCUAGACAUCGGCCUAAACUUUUAACGGUAAGAUAAAUUGGUGGACUUGUCUAUGUGUCCUCCUCAGAAAAGCAUGGUGGUGGGUCCGUCGGUAGAGCUUGCUUCGUAGUCCUCCUCAUUGCUGAUUAAGGGGGCUACGUCUCCUUCGGGGUGAAGGUUCUCGCCCAUGUCCAAUUCUUCCUCCAGAUAUGCGACACGAGCCUUCAACUUCUCGAUCCUCUCCAAGAAGUCCUUCACCUCCAAUUCGUGCUUGUAGUGGGCUUCUCGGGCUUCGUCUUCGAGGUCAAGUUCGCGGAGCGACAAUUGCUUGAUCCUCUUCGUGUCCUUGCCAACACGAAUCUCCAGAGUUCUGAUAUGUGCCUCCAUGGUAUGGGCAUAGGACAAGAGAGCGUCGUCAGUCUUGGUCAGAAUGAUUUCUCCAUCAGCUCCUCUCCGAGAGACCGUGAAUAAGUCCGGUGAGAUGGGACAGCCUCUGUACUCCUUUACUAUGGGAGAAGGGGUGGCCCUCUCACAAAAGGGGUCGCAAUGACUAGGCCUAGACGUUUUUACCAAAAACACAAGGGAGCUCCCGUGCCAAUGACUUCCAUUCCUCUCACCGACCCGUCCGUGAGGGGGCACUCCUUCUCCCGAAGUUACGGGGCUAUUUUUUUGAGUUCCUUAGAGAGAGUUGUGUCGUGCCCCUAGCCAUUAUCCUAUUGCAAUAAUUCUCGCCAAGAAGAAUGCCAAUGUCGUGGAAGUUCCACCCACAAGGUAAUGGGUUACUCCUAAAACACGCCCUUGUAUAAUGCUCGAGGCUCUAGGCUACCGCCGCGCCCUGGGCCGUCACAAGGAAAUCUAUACCCAAAAUCCUUUUGAUUUGACACUAAUUUGGAACCGUGUGCAACCAAUUCCUAUAAUUAUGAAAUCCAUGUGAAUAAACUUUCAUUGACCAAGUGUCGUGACCCGUUUUAUGGGAUAUAAAACCCCUAGUAACAUGUCCUUGCGUUCACGAGCCCUAGGAUUACUAUUAGCUGGUGGACACUCACAUGAUACAGAAAUUCCAAGUAAUUUACAAAAUUUGGGGUACAAGACCAUGAAGGACCAUGGGGUAUAACAAUUCACCUAGUGGCUGAUGGCGGAAGCUACUCAUGGGUCUCCAACGUCCAAGGGUCUCCAUUACCACAGGAAUAGGUAACCUGGAUAACUCCUAUCUCGCAAGGCUGCUAUCCUCGAUGCUUAGGUUCCGGGUGUCAUCAUCGUGCUCCUCUCCAAAUAUGCAAUGUGGCCAAGACAAUAGUCAGGGACAAUCCAGUAAGUACUUUGAAUGUACUCGCAAACAUCAUGAAAGUAGAUAAGUAAAAGCAGGUGAGAUGCAUGCACUAAAAUCUUAAUAACCCUAAUGUGCCAUAAGAUUUAAUUUAUGGAUGCAAUUAUGGAGAUAAAUCAUUCCUGCCAAUUAUGUAUAAGAAAUCAAGGNNNNNNNNNNNNNNNNNNNNNNNNNNNNNNNNNNNNNNNNNNNNNNNNNNAGCGUAACAAUAACUUGAAUGUGUCGAUCGGGCGCUUGAAGCAACAACUCGAAAGGACACGCAAUAUGAGUCGGAAUCGGGUGUCUAAGCAACGUCACAUAAAGGGACUUAUAUCAUCACAAUAAAUAUAAUGCAACAGUCGGCGUCUUGGGAGACACCACAUAAUGGGCUUAUAAUGAAAUAAGAAUCGACAAAACCAUAAAAGGCCUUAUAAGAAUAUAAUAACAAUGAGUAAGUAAUAACAUGCAUGCAUAACACAUCAGCGAUUUAUAUGUAGCAAAAUUAAUUACAAAUAUUAAAUCAGUCUUAAGAUAAAUUCUUAAAAGCAAGUAAUAAUAUAAUUUAUCCCUACUGAAGGUAAAUAAGCAAUCAAUGAACGAUAAUAAAAGUAAAAUGGAACAUCGGGCGGUAAACCUCUCAAAAAUUGCGAGGAAAUAAGGACACUCCGAUCGGUUGUGUGAAGGGACGCCUCGAAAGGAUAACAAUAUAAAAUGUGCCUCGGCCGGGCAUUUGAGUGAAGCCACAUAAAGGGCUUAUAUAGAAAUAAUAACAAUUGCCACAUUCGGGCGUGUGAGCGAUGCUACAUAAAGGGCUUAUAUGAAAAUAAUAACAGUUGGCACAAACGAGCGUUUGGAGCGACGUCACAUAAAGGGUUUAUAUGAAAAUAACAAUUGCCACACUCGGGUGUGUGAGCGACGCCACAUAAAGGGCUUAUAUGAAAAUAGUAACAAUGAGUAUCUAGAAGGUAGAACCUUCCGAAGGGACACUCAAACAUUCUUAUGCAAGAAAUGGUUAGUCCACAACAAUAUUCCUAAUAAUUAUGAUCAUCCACCAUGGUUCAUGAUCAUCAUGAUGCUUCAAUUAAUUCCUCCAAAGACUGACACUUAGAACGACACUUUACAUAACCUAGCCUUUAGUCCUUACCAGCGGACUCGACUACUCGAAUAGAUAUUUAAUUUUAUAGAGGGUGUACUCUGUACCUACAAGUAACAAAUUUCCUUAGUCAACCUGAAAUGUUGGCUAAUUCCGCUUACGGUCUUUAGGUUGAAACCACACCUGACCCGCACACACCAGCUUAACUUCCCAAUGCCACGAAUCACCCAAGGCAAUCAUUAAGAAAAACUCUAAGUGGGGAGACCACACUCUCGAUUAGCAAGGGAUCAACAAAAUUUUACCGCGUGCAAAGAGGGGCGCUACCCCCUCGGUCCAAUCCAAUCAUCCAUGCCCCCGGACCAAGUGACAAGCCUACCAGUGAUAAGUGGUAUCUUUCACUAUGGCCUCUCUGUAUGGUGUGUGUGCAAGAAAAGGGGUUGACGACUUACUGAACUAUACCCUACCCGUGUCAGGGACAAGUGGUAGCACAAAUCUAGUAUGAGGGUUACUGGCACAAGACUCGAUCUACGAUCGACUCAGGAGUUUUAAGUUUUCCUGCAAUGGUUAGCAUCACAAAAUUUCCAAAUGAUAUCCGACCCUGUUACCACCAUCAUACCCCGAUAUGCCCUCACCGAUCACUCUCGUCACAAAGAGAUAUCAGUUUCACGGUCACACUUUUACCCACAACAAACCUUACUAUGAGGUUGUCCGGACCAGCAUAGGCAUAUGUGGUAGGAGGCAGUACCCACUAUCAUAUGUAUUUUGUGGUCAACAACAAAUAAAUACCCAUCACAUGCAUUCAUGCAUACAUAUUUUUUUACAUGGAAAUUUUUGUCUAACUAACAUAAUCAUGCAUUUACUCAUGGCAGCAAGAAAUCACUCAACUUAUCACAAAUCAGUGUUCAAGAUGUUUGCCUUGGGUAUGAAGAAGGGUGGUGUGCACUCCAAAAUCUUUGAAAGGAUUCUCCCCUCCAAUUUUCCUAUUUUGGAAAAUAUUGGAAUCAACACACAUUUCCAAAACAAUGUAGAAAUGUUGUUUGAAUCUUUUUAAAUAAAUAUGUGUAUAAACUAGAUGAAAUUUGAGAGAUAACAGAAAAAGAAUCAACUUAUUUGAAGUUGUAUUUUAAAAGUUAUAAGAAGUCAAAGUUAGGUCAAAUUCUGUUUUUAAAUAAACACAGAAAAGAAAAUGGUUCAGUAAUUAAUAUGCUUUCAAACAAGGAAUAUGUACUCCACGAAAAGACGCCAUCAUUUAGGACUGCUACGGUGCGGCUCAGUCGCAGACGCGCGAUCUCCAUAGGUUAGACUAGCAAAAGGGCCCAUGCGUUGUAAUGGGAGAAAUAAAUACCACACGGCACACGCUCUUAAUUUAUAAAAAAUGUCUAUAGUUUGAGAAUUUAUAAUUACGAUAUCUUACAAAAAUGCAGUUCAAAAUUUUACAGGUCUUCUAUUUUAACACGGCUUGCAUGUAGAUUUAAUACGUACAAAGAAUCAGUCAAGUAACCUUCAGUUUCAUCUCUAAUCCGUGUUCAUUCCCAACCCGGAUGAGUACCGGUAUGAAAGAAAGACGAAUAAUGACUUAUUUAUUAAGAUUGCACCCGAGAUAGUACUUUUAUUAAACGUUUAACAGAUAAAAUAAUAUCAUAUUUAAAUAAUAUCAUAUUUAAAUUCUACAUAUUUUUCUAAUCAAAUUUCAUGUAUAAUAUGUUAAAUUUAGAGUUACGGUUUAAAAGAUAUGAGUAUUUAAAAAAAUAUUAAUAUAUACUACGAGUUUAAUGUCAUAAACAGUAAGAGUUUUUUUAUUAAAAUCACCUCGAUGGGUUUCCCGAGGUAAGAUAGCCGGUAAAGAUUUGACCCCUGGUCAAAUCGUCCUUCUCCCUCCUGUGGCCGAGCGGAGGAGGAGCUCCCGACGAGCCUCACCGGUGAUUGGGGACACGACACCGGAUGUCGACCGCACCGUCGUGCUCAGGGUCUCGAGGCGGCCUGGUGGCGGGGCUCCACGACCUUUGGGACGGACACAGCUGCCGAUGGCGAGCUUCCCGGUGGGCGGCGGCAUCGGAUGAAAAUGGGGUUCCUCCUACGGGCUCUCUCACGGAAAAUUUGAGGAGGUGAGUGGUUUAGCAUGGUCAUACCGAAGCUUAUGUAGCAGGAACGGGGAGAGGGGGGCUGUGGAAGCAUGGGAAUCGACCGGUGUCCUCGGCGGCCACGCUUGUCGGAGGAGGAGAAAUUCGGAUCCCCCGGUCGACUUGCUGCUUUGAGAAUGCUCAGGGGGUUGCAGGGAGAGGAAAUGAUGAUGCUAGAGGGGUAUGUGCAUUUAUAUAGCCACGGUCGAGUCGGUUCAUCGGAAUCCUGAGGAUAAGCACGGCGGCGGUGACCACUGUUGGCGAACAGGGGAGGCGGGGCUAGACGGCGGGGCAUGUCAGGGUUACCGACCUAGCUGCGGAUGAGCACGACUUGCUGGAGUGCUUGGGGGCGCGCCAGCUGGCAUGCACGACACCAACCGCAGCAGGCGACGGCGGUGGCUAGCGCUUGGCUUGCUGGUGACUCGGCGGGGGGCUAUAGAGCAGGGAGAGAAGGUCAGUUGGGUUGUGGCACGAUGCGGCGCGGCUCUGCGAGCGGUGAGGGGCCAGGGACGCGGGGUUGGUGGACGCGGCGGAUCAGCGCAACCUCGUGCAAUAUGCACCUUCCGCUCGCGCUUUGGGCACGCUCAUCAACUAUUCGAGGAAAUGCCAGGCACAGCUAGAGGGCUUUGAUGCAUAUGAAACUUCCCAGGGCUAGGUUAAUUGCUAAGGCAAGGCUGCUAGACGAGCUGGUUAUGCGAGGGAAUAAAGUUCCCAAAGCAAAUUUUGAACCAUGCCAAAACUGUCUAUGCUCUCUAGGUGUUUGAUGAAAUGCCAGUGGCAUAUAAAAGACUUUAGUGGCACCCAAACUUUCGAGAGAGGGGUAUUUUUGGACACUAAAGGUGAUGGCGUGGUCAGAUUGAUAAAAUAGAAAACUUGUUAGUGCAACUUUUGGUGAAUAACAUUUUUGGAAAGAAACGGCACGUGGUUAUUUCAUGCACUUAAAAUAAUCCAAUGGGGUUAAACUUCCGGACUUAAUGGUUUGGUAGGAUGUACUUCGAGGAGGAAAAAUCUUAUGGCCAAUAGGGCAAUUUAAAAUAGGGUUGCAGUUCAAACCGCUAAAUUGGGCCAGAAUGAAAGUGGGGAUGCUUUGCUCAAACUUUUUAAAGGACAAUCAUUGGUUUUUGCAUAAAAGUGAAUCAUAUACAUUACUUGACAUCUCCAUUUUUUUAUGAAAGUUUUUAAUAAAUUUAUGAAAUGGUUGCAGUGCAACAAAGUCACUUAAAAGUAUGAAAAUGCCUUGAUUUUUUUUAAUUUGGAAAUUAUUUUUAUAAAAAAUAUUUCCCCACUAAAUUUAUAAAAUGAAAUAAAAUGAUUUCAAACAAAAAAUCAAGUCCAGAAUACUUUUCAACAGUCUACUUGGAGGAAAAUUUUGUAGAGAGGAGUCUGUGAAAUAAGCAAGGAAGCAAGUUAUAUUCAAAAGUUUUAUUUCACGCAAAAAAAUAAUUAAUAAAAAUAUGGUUUAAUUUCUGGGGCGUUACACAUAGAGAAGUUGAACUGCAUAGAUUAUUUGGAUAUCUUCCACUAUUACUAACCAGGGCAAAAUAGAUAAUGAGCGCGAGCUAACAAUUUCAUGUUGAUGCGAAUCAAUCCACAUGCUCCCAUCUUUAAUAAUAUUCCCGCUGAAAGCAUACAUGUAAUAUAAUCUUCUUCCCCAUGGGUUGAGCACAAGUUAAGGCUGACCUCAUGGAAAAAUUUAGCACGUAAAAAAGGUGGAGUAAACCUGUUUUUAUUUUCUUCAAAACUAGUGGGCUUUUCCUCCGCGUGUAUAAAAGGAAGAAAUGAACCAAAGCCUCAUAAAACGCUUCCUAGGGGUUAAACUUCCAUUAGUCCGUAUUUCUAGAAAAACUAUCUCGUGUUUUUCAUUACCAUUCCCACAAGAAAAAAAAAUACUAGAAUUCACAUUUCACGAUUCUUAUAAUUAUAAAUAGAUUGAUCCAUAUGCUUUAAAUGGAUAAGAGGGAUAUGGAUUUUCUGCUUAGCUCAAAUUGUAUCCUUCUCCUUCUGUUUGGAUAGAAAAACUCUAAAGAAAGAAAGAAGGGAUUGGCUAGAACUCACCUAAAUGAGACAUAACUAUGGUCUCAUUCACCUCAUCUAAUGUAUCCAGGUUGUAAUCUGUUUUCUUUUCUUUUUGGGCUGGCCUAAGAGCAUAGUUAGUAAGAGAGCCCGUUGUUGGCUAUAUGCGAAGGCCAUGUAACAUAAGGUUUUCAUUAGAGACCACUAGUAUAAUAUAAUUUUGAGUGGCUAUUAGAAUGAAUAUAACAUUUAAUAUUUGCAUGUGGAGGGAGGCAAGGAAGCACAUGUGAUUGCGCGAGAGAAAGGAAUGCCCAAAUUUUUAGCUUGCACCUGGCUGCAUGUGGGUUACUUUUUCUUGUUUCUAGCGCUAGAGAAGGCGACAAAUAAAUCUUUCUUUUAGUUGGGACUUUGAUGACGUGGAAGACUUAUGUCGUGCUGAUUAGGACCUAUUGUACUUGCUCUAAUGUGUUUUCUUGACUUUUCAUAGCCUAAUAACUUUUCGUGUUGUUAUUGCGACGCUGUAUAGGUGCAGAACUACAAGUUUGUUGUAGCAAUGAUGAAGCUAGGUGAAAACAUGCAGGAAAAAAUGUUUUAUGAAUGAUUAGAACCACAAACUACUCCCUUCGUCUCGGUGCAUUAGGCAUCUUACGAAAAUCAAAUAAGCCAAAAACUCUAAGGCACAUUACAGUAGUACUAGUUGUAUGUAUAUUAAUUAGACUUCAUGUAUCAAUUGAAGGAUCAAUGCAUGCAAUUUAUGCAUGAUACUUUUUGGAUUGGAGAAGUCUCCUAAUUAAUAGCACGUAUUGAGUUGAGAAAGGAAUAUUGUGAUUAUCUUUCUCUGUAAUUCAAUUUCUUCUCCUACCCAAUCUCUGCGUGCCUAGGUUACACUGCACCUUCUAAGAUGCCUAACGCACCGAGACGGAGGGAGUAUUUAACCAUGACUUCUUAUCGAUUUUAUUUUGUUCCAUUUCGGUAUAAUGUGUUGGCAAAAAUUGUGCGCAAGUAUAAAGCAGAGGUAUGUCAAUUUCAUGUCGCUCCAUUUCCCCAUAAACCAUGUGAUUAUUUAUUUCAAAAAUUGCUUAUUGAUUUCAAAAUAUUCACGUACAUGAAAAAUAUUAGUUAAAUAUAAAAAUGAUCGUGAAUUUGAAAAAAUGAUCACAAAUUCAAAAAAAAUGGUGAACUUUAAAAAUCAUAAAUGUUACAAAAAAUCACGGUUUUUAAAAAUCAUGAAUUUGGGGGGCAAUAAGUAGUUCUCAAAAUCUAUAGAGCCCUUAUAAAAAUAUCUCAUGAUUUUUCCCAAAAUAAAAUGAGAAUGAAAAAAUAAAACAAAAUUGUUGAAACCAUGCAGUUGUGACACACCUUGAAAUACAUGCACUUGCGACAUGCCAUGACAACGUGUAAUUGUGGCCCCUUGAAAUACAUGCGAUUGUGACAUGCCUUGAAAACGUGCAGUCGCAAUUCCAUUUUGAAACUUACCAUUGGAACCCAUCUUAAAAAACAUGCAAUUAUGACCUUGCAUUAAAGUCAUUCACUUGCAACCCUUCUUAAAAACAUGCAUUUGUAACCCAUCUUAAAAAACAUGCUCCCACUUUUAAAAACAUGCAGUUGCGGCCUCUCUUGAAAACAUGCAGUUACGAUCAUUGUUGAAAAACAUGCAAUUACGACACCGCAUUAAAAACACACAGUUGCGACCCACCUUCAAAACAUGCGGUAGAGGCCCCUCUUGAAAAUAUGCAGUUGUGACCCACCUUGAAAACAUGCAGUUUCGACGUGCCUUGAAAAAAGAUGCGGUUGCACCCCCACUUGAAAACAUGCACUUGCGACCCCUCUUGAAAAAUAUGCACCUCCGUUCCCUGUUAAAUAACAUGCAGUUGCGAGCCCUCUUGAAAAAAUACAGUUUUAAUCCGCCUUGAAAAAGGAUGCGGUUGCGUCCCUCUCUUGAAAACAUGCAGUUGCGACCCUUUUGAUAAACAUGCAGUUAGGCCCCCCUUAAAAAAAUCUAUAGUUGCGACCACGUCUUAAAAACACGCAAUUGCAACCCAUCUUGAAAACAUACACUUGCGACUCCUAUUGAAGAUAUGCAGCUACGGCCCACCUUAAAAAUAUGCAGUUACGUCCCCUAUUGAAAACAUCCAGUUGCACCUCUUCUUAAAAACAUGUAGUUGCAACUCACUUUGAAAACAUGGAGUUGCGGUCCCUCUUGAAAACAUGCAGUUACGACCCAUCUUGAGAACAUGUAGUUGCGGUCAUGUUAUAAUGCUUGCAGUUACAUGUCUAGCGGUGGACAUGCAUGUGACCCUUAGAACCCCCCCUCCAAACGAGAGUUGCGACCCCUGUUUUUCAAUCUCAACCUCAUUAUUGUGUUGACACGGUGAUUUUUCUAAAAGUUUAUAAGGAUCAAAUUUUGUAAAACUAAAACACGCCCCAUUGAACAAAUAACAAAACAUGCAAAAAGCUAGAGUAAAAGAAAAAAAUAAAGCCCACAUAGCUCACCUCGUGCAAACCAGCAAAAGUAAGACUCGUAGAAAAGUUCAACUAGCCGAGUUUCAGCAAAACCAAUUAAAAAAAAGUUAAGAAAAAAAAUGAAACAAGGAAGAAAGUUUAGUAGAAACGAAUACAUCCAGAUUUGAGAGAGUGAGCCUAAAAAGUUAAACUAGAUUUGAGAGAGUGAUUGGAAAAUGAAAGAAAAAAAUCUCACACACUUGCCUUGAAUCUCUCGUGGCUGGUUUGUUAUGGACAAUGUAUUAACUUGAAACAAGACCCAUCAAGUCAAGACAACUAUCAUUUUCAUAAAAAAAACAACGACAAAGUCACAACACAACCAGCUCCCCGCCCCUGAUACUAACGGGCCUAACAGCCUAGUGUGCACCUAGAAAAAAAAUGAGACAACAACCUGCUCCCCACGUAUCUCUACUAUUAAAGCAGGAUCGAACGCCGUGAUGGUUCAACCAACGAUGGUUCGACCUCCCUUCCCCCUCCCUGCUAUCGCCAGAAAAAUAGCCACGACCGAACAACCCACGAUAAAAAAAACGAGGUGAAAACUUCCCACACGGCACCCCUUCGAACGCUUCCCACUUCUCCUCCUCCCCUCGCCCCAGGACCCGACGGCCUCCACCUCCUAGGCAGCGCCCUCGAGCCCUCCGCCGCCGCCGUUGCUCGAUGUCAGUCUCUCGCAUCACGACGACGAGCGCCACCCCCUCCCCGGCUCCCCCCUUCUCCUCCUCCCCUCGCCGCAUGGAUCCGCACGGAUCCGUCAGCCGGGGAGGGGGUGGCGCUCGUCGUCGCGAUGCCAGAGACUGACAUCGAAGUCGAGCCGCCGCCGCGCUAGAGACUCCUCCGCCGACGGAUCUGUCAGUCUCUGGCAUCGCGACGACGAGCGCCACCCCCUCCCCGGCUCCCCCUUCUCCUCCUCCCCUCGCCGCAUGGAUCCGCACGGAUCCGUCGGCGGAGGAGUCUCUAGCGCGGCGGCGGCUCGACUUCGAGGGGAUCUGCUUUGAGCGGGGUCAGCGGCCGGGGAGUCGUGCCGGACGACGCGUCACGGCGGGCGUUCGCUGCGGCGGGCGUGAGCAAGGCGAAGGACGGCGGUGCCGGUACCAGGGAAGGACGGGGGACGUCGGCGCGUCACGACGGUCGUUCAUUGCGGCACGUAGUGGAGGCCCGCGGUGGCGGCACUCCAUGGCCGUGGCGGCUCGGUCUCCGGGAAGAAAAGACGAGUUGGGAUGGAGAGAAGAGAAGGGAGAGUACGAACGAUGCAGCUACCUGCUGGUUCGGCGGCGGCUGUGGUAGCCGGAUCCAGGUUUGAGUCCAAUUUUUUCUCCUCCUGGCUACACGAUUGGGGUUACCCAGCGGUCACUCUCCCUACCGCUGCUCUCCUGCACCUCCCUGCACUCAUGGAGAUGUCUUCGCCCUCGCAUACGUCAUCUCCGUGGAGGCCAGCGUCAUACUUUCUUUCCCUGGCCAUGCUUGACCUCCUCCUCACUCACGAUGCCCAUGUUUAGCUACGUCAAGGCUGUGAAUAAGAGGAGAGAAAUGAAGACGAUGGCAAGCUGGAGAAGAAGACUGAUUGUCGGCUCCUCCUCCCUCUUACGCAUUGUCACUGAUUGAGGUCUAUGUAGACGGAGCCUGUCAUGGAGCAGGGCACAACCAGAGAUGAAGCACUUUGUACCUGCAUUGCCUUUUAUCAAUUUUUGUGGUAGUUUUUUUUUCUGUGAUCCGUUAGAUAACCUCUCUCUUAUGUUUUGCUGUAUCUUUUAAUCGUUUUGAUGUUUCAGUUCCCGGGGGUAAAAUGGCCAUAUGAUGUUUCACUUCUUGGGCAGAAAAUAGCUAUAUCAGAUCAAGUGCACUGUGUGAAGGUAUGCAAUAACUCGGUUCUUUUAUUUUGACAGAUAGCAUUUUUGUUCACAAGAAACAUGGUAAUCCAGGGCGGGGUGAGAGCUUUGUAUUCUGAAACAUGGCAAUCCGUAAUGUCUAGGUUGUAACGAACGUUCAUAUUCAUAAUAAUACUCUAUGCAGUCUGUAUGCAGCUAAUUCUUGUAGGUACACUCAUUUUAUUCAUAAGUUAAGAAUAUAUCCGUUUUAAUUAUCUAAUAUUUCAUCACCUCCCAUCUGUUCACUAUAAAUAUUGUUCCCCACCAGAUUUUCAGUUGGUCUGGUUUGUACUUGUGCAAUGAUGUCUUGUAUUAAGCUGCAUGAUAGUUUGAUACAUAUUGCACGGUCUUCAUAAUUUCCGUUGAACUGGCACGUUGUGUCUUUGGUUUAUGUCCCAAAUUGUUGAGUUGCUUCAUUCCACUCCUGAUGCUGAAGUGUAGAUUUUAAUUGCAAAUCCGGUCAUUUUAGGCAUUAGGCAACUAUGCAAAAAAUAAAAUUCUGCAUGCUAGAUCAACUCAAUAUUUUUUAUCAUGAAGUUUUAAACUUGUCACUGGUGUAAAUUUACUUGCGCGGAUUUUAGUGACUGACACACCUUAGAAGCACCUAUCUGGAGGAACAAACACGGCGAUACGGAGACAUAGACACGGCCACAUAAAUAAAGGGACACAUAUACUUCAUUUCAAAAAAAGAACAUUUGGGGAUAUGGUGAUUAUAUAUAUAUAUAUAUAUUUUUUAAAAUAUGCCAUAUAAUAUGAGAUCAGAGAAGUUCCGCAUUUCCAUUUGUUGUCUCCCUUUUCAAGUGCUCAAUGAGAAACAAAGGAUAUUUUGAAUCAACACCAAGCUGCCCUUCACUCUCACCCAUGGACGAUUGGCUACCAGCGGUGGGGCUCCCAGAUGCCAUUUCCCUAACAACAAGUAAAAUCGACAGUAGCACCAGCAUUAAAGCGAGCAUAACAUCAUGCAGCUAAUUUGAAACGCAAGCAGCAAUGGCAUGGCUGCAUGAGGAAGCAAGCAGCAGCAGCUCAUCAACGAGCCAUAAAGAUAUGAAGAGGUUGAGGAGAGGCUGCUGCUCUUAGGAAACGGUGGCACGUUCGCUGGAGGUUGGAGCAGCUUGUUCCUUUUGUGGCGAGCGUGUCUGCGAGCCUGCAAAAUAGAGUUUGUAUCGGGCCUCCCAAUUCCCCAACGAAUCCCAGCCGUGUCCUUUCUUUAACUUGGAAAUGAGGGGAUACUGUGAGAUACGCGUAUCCUGGUGUGUCACCGUGUCUCGCCAUACUAGGACGAUAAAUCAUCCAUGUCCGUGCUUUGUAGAGUGGCAAACCUAUCAGUGGCAAUAAUAUAUCAGUCAUUUGUUUUCUAACCACAUGAAUGCUGUCAUGGCAGAUAUUUUUUACAUCAACCUUUUCUGCAGUCUAAUCCAUGUUUGUCUUCCAAUUACACUCCCUACAUUCGUAUGAAGAAGGCAUAAAUUUCUGUUUGCAAACCUUAAAUAAGGCUAGUGUCAGAAAUUCCCUUUCCACUUUGCCUCUAAUUAAUUACUGCCUGGCGUCUUUGCCCACCAUGGAAAAUUCCAAGUCCCAGUUAUCCUUGUGCGCCCUUGGCCUAUAGCACAACAUGCAUGGCAUUGAAAGCAGCCUGACGUCCACGCCGUUUUCUUCCAGCCUGCAUGUGGCAACCAAUUCAAGCGUACAUCACGAGAUUAAUGAAGGUGAACCAGGGAUAAUUUAGGAAGAAAACAUUUGAAUCACACCCUGUGCCUUUUUUUUAAAACGUCCUGAGAAGAAGAAAAAAUGCCCUUUUCAUUGGAACGGAGGGAGUGUCAUUUUCAUCGCUGGCAUGCUUAGUAACAGUGUUGUCUAUAUUUUUGCCGAUUUUCAAGUUUGUAUCACACCAUCAUCUACUUAAUGCUGUCUUUUGGUUGACAGAUUUUGUACUUGAAGGAAGUGUAGCCACACCCUUUGAAGGUAAAUAUGAUGCAUAUUUGAAACUACUAUCUUCUAUGUACUGUCCUAUGCCAGACAAUAUCUUACUGUAUAACUUGAUAUUUAACAGUCUUUUUGCACUUGUUUUUGUCCCCCCAAAGGUGGAUAUUACUAUGGGAAGCUUAAAUUUCCUUCUGAUUACCCUUUUAAGGCUCCAAGUAUCAGGUACUGAAACAUUAGAGCAUUGGUUGUUGUGCUUUUUUAAUGACAAUUCCUUGUUAUUUGGAUGUUUAAAAGGAAAGCAAUUAGAUAAAAUGUUGUAUCGAAUUAAUAAAUUGACUCUUCUUAGAUUUGUACUUACAAUUUGUCUUUGUUUUGCAGCAUGACAACCCCCAGCGGCAGGUUUGCCCCUCACAAAAGGAUAUGCCUAUCAAUGAGUGACUGUAAGCAUCAUACUGUAAUCAAAUAAUAUUUUACUUUUUUCUGAUCGGGAUUGAAAUGAUUCUCAUAUUGCUUUGCUUUUGCAGUUCAUCCAGAAUCUUGGAAUCCCAUGUGGUCUGUAGCAAGGUAUGCACAUAAUGAUAUCUCUACCUUGGGCCUGGGGAAUAUAUUUUUCAUUGACAUAUUUUAAAAUAUUUUGUGGGUAACUAUACCAAUCACACUUUCAGCUCUAUGUUUGAACAUAGAUGUGUCCCCAUAAGAUGUUUCCCCUUUAAAUUUCAGCUACUUGAGUUUAUGGUCUUCAGUUACUUGCCCUCAAAAAUGCUCAACCGCAAUUUUCUUAUUUUAACAUUGUCAAUCUGUGAAUAUAUUUUGCUGUAUGAUAUUCUUGUGUUUUUCUCUUCACUGGUCUCACAUACGCUUUUGUGUUGCAGCAUUCUAACAGGGCUCCUCUCAUUUAUGGUAAGUUGUUACUUUCUCAUCAUCUACGAGUUAACAAAAAUACUUCAAUUCCAUUCUUAAUUGUUGACACAUAGUAUAUGGAGAUGAACUGUUAUUGAAGUCUAGCAAUUUGUAUUAUAAAUAAUUGUUAAGCACUACUGCGAGCAAUUCUUUUGAGUGUUUUUACACAACCGAUGUUGGUAUUUCACUUGCAAGGACAGAGUACUAUUGGUCAAGUGUUUCAGUUCUUCUGAAAAUCUUAAUUUUCAUGCUAGCCAACUAAAUCUCGUAUUCUGGUGCUUGAAGUGCAAAAGAUAUGCUUGUACACCUUGCUUUUUUUUUAUACCCUUACAACCAUCUUGUUCACCAAAGAACAUAAUUAUUUUCAGCUUCUAGCCUUCUGAUGUAAACUGUACAAUUGUUCUUGUAUUUGUAGAUGGACGAUGCUCUUACAACUGGAAGCAUCACAAGUACAGAUGGAGAGAAGAAGCGUUUGGCAAAGGCUUCGCGUGCUUAUAACUGUGAGAGGUAAAUGCAUUUCACUGCAAGAUAAUUUUAAUUCUUUCCGGUGUGACUGAGAAAAAUGUUGAUCCUUCAGGAGCGGAAAUUAGCAGAAGCUUUCACUUACGGUUAGUAAACGUGCUUCCAUAAUUAAUAUCUUAGUUUUUAUUUUUAGGGGAUCCUAUAUCUCAUUUAGUAAGCCCUAUGCCCCAAAUACAACGAGCUCAUGUCUGUUAAAUCGCUGCAUGAUAUUGCUGUAAUUUCAUUUACUUAAUUCACUUUUAGAUGACUGGCAUUUGUUGGCUUGUGCUGAAAUGGUCUUCAUUAUUGUCUCAUGUCUUGACCUCGCCUUCUGACACGAGUUAUUCCCUGUUCCAAACCAUGAGGUAUAA
rnacentral:lncRNA from 1 species